rnacentral:rRNA from 1 species
GAUGAACGCUGGCGGCGUGCCUAAUACAUGCAAGUCGAGCGAACAGACGAGGAGCUUGCUCCUCUGACGUUAGCGGCGGACGGGUGAGUAACACGUGGAUAACCUACCUAUAAGACUGGGAUAACUUCGGGAAACCGGAGCUAAUACCGGAUAAUAUAUUGAACCGCAUGGUUCAAUAGUGAAAGACGGUUUUGCUGUCACUUAUAGAUGGAUCCGCGCCGCAUUAGCUAGUUGGUAAGGUAACGGCUUACCAAGGCAACGAUGCGUAGCCGACCUGAGAGGUUGACCGCCCACCCUGAACCGAGGCCCCGUCCCGGCUCCCACGGGGAGCCACAGUUGGGAAUUUUCCGGCAAUGGCCAAAGCCCUGACGGAGAACCCCGGCGGGAGUGAUAAAGGCUUCGGGUUCGAAAACCCCUGUAUUAGGGAAGAACAAAUGUGUAAGUAACUAUGCACGUCUUGACGGUACCUAAUCAGAAAGCCACGGCUAACUACGUG